UAGUGAUCCGGCGGUUCCGAAUGGAAGGGCCGUCGCUCAACGGAUAAAAGGUACGCCGGGGAUAACAGGCUUAUCGCCCCCGAGAGUUCACAUCGACGGGGCGGUUUGGCACCUCGAUGUCGGCUUAUCGCAUCCUGGGGCUGAAGAAGGUCCCAAGGGUCGGGCUGUUCGCCCGUUAAAGCGGUACAUGAGCUGGGUUUAUAACGACGUGAGACAGUUCGGUCUGUAUCCGUCGUGGGCGUUGGAGUAUUGAGGGGAGCUGCUCCUAGUACGAGAGGACCGGAGUGGACUGACCACUCGUGUACCGGUUGUUCCGCCAGGGGCAUUGCCGGGUAGCGACGUCGGGAAGGGAUAACCGCUGAAAGCAUCUAAGUGGGAAGCCCCCCCCAAGAUGAGUACUCCCAGACCAUUGGUCUCAGAAGGGCCGUGCGAGACUAGCACGUUGAUAGGCGGCAAGUGGAAGCGUGGUGACACGUGCAGCUGAGCCGUACUAAUGGCCCGAGAGGCUUGACCAG
rnacentral:rRNA from 1 species